GGUUUGAUGGUCUAGUGGUAUGAUUCUCGCUUAGGGAGCACCCUAUAGCAUAUAUGCGAGAGGUCCCGGGUUCAAUCCCCGGUCAAACCC
rnacentral:tRNA from 1 species